CCAACCGGGAUUGCCUUAGUAACGGCGAGUGAAGCGGCAAAGCUCAAAUUUGAAAUCUGGUACCUUCGGUGCCCGAGUUGUAAUUUGGAGAGGGCAACUUUGGGGCCGUUCCUUGUCUAUGUUCCUUGGAACAGGACGUCAUAGAGGGUGAGAAUCCCGUGUGGCGAGGAGUGCGGUUCUUUGUAAAGUGCCUUCGAAGAGUCGAGUUGUUUGGGAAUGCAGCUCUAAGUGGGUGGUAAAUUCCAUCUAAAGCUAAAUAUUGGCGAGAGACCGAUAGCGAACAAGUACAGUGAUGGAAAGAUGAAAAGAACUUUGAAAAGAGAGUGAAAAAGUACGUGAAAUUGUUGAAAGGGAAGGGCAUUUGAUCAGACAUGGUGUUUUGUGCCCUCUGCUCCUUGUGGGUAGGGGAAUCUCGCAUUUCACUGGGCCAGCAUCAGUUUUGGUGGCAGGAUAAAUCCAUAGGAAUGUAGCUUGCCUCGGUAAGUAUUAUAGCCUGUGGGAAUACUGCCAGCUGGGACUGAGGACUGCGACGUAAGUCAAGGAUGCUGGCAUAAUGGUUAUAUGCCGCCCGUCUUGAAACACGGACCUCCUGUGUGAGGGAUCCCCCCAUA
rnacentral:rRNA from 1 species